rnacentral:piRNA from 1 species
UGAAAUAUUUUCUGAAACACGGUUGGACU